rnacentral:tRNA from 1 species
GCCAAGGUGUCUUAGACAGUAAAGAAUCUGAUUGCAAUUCAGAAGUCCCAGUUCAAUUCUUUGGUC